UGUGGGAGAAAUGACAGCAUGACAAACAGGCUAUGUGGACUUCAGCACAUCGGCACAAUGUGCCUCCAGUUUUUUCAUCUGGAAAAACAACUGGCAGUGGGUGAUGAUUAAAUAGAGGCCCGGCAUGGUUAAGCGGCAAGCCCAGAGUCAGCCAUCCAACGCAGCGCAGAGCUGUGAUACAACCCACUUCCACUCCCACGGCAUCUCGGCUUCGUGGGAGUUGAGGAGCGUCUCAACUGCAUGUCAGGAGAACCCAUGAAAAGGAAAGAACCCAGAACAAAUGGGUGAGAAAGUUCAAGACUAUGUUCAGCGUAAGAGCAAAAGCCUCCUGAGAAUUCUGCUUGCAGCCCAUUCCCAGGCAUUACAGUGCAAAGCUAAUUAGGGAGAAUGGCAUGAGUAGAAGACCACCAAGACCACCAGCUGAAACGGGUGUUCUCAUGGCCUCCAGUGGGCUCGACUAUUUUUAUAUUUUUAAUAUUUUGGUCCAAUCACUACUCUAUACAACUUAGCUGUCUUAAAACAAUAAAGCCAAAACAAAAAUAAAACAAUAACCCAGGCCUCCCA
rnacentral:lncRNA from 1 species